rnacentral:rRNA from 1 species
UACGGAGGGUGCAAGCGUUAUCCGGAUUUAUUGGGUUUAAAGGGUCCGUAGGCGGAUCGUUAAGUCAGUGGUGAAAUCCCACAGCUCAACUGUGGAACUGCCAUUGAUACUGGCGAUCUUGAGUACAUGUGAAGUUGGCGGAAUGUGUGGUGUAGCGGUGAAAUGCUUAGAUAUCACACAGAACACCGAUUGCGAAGGCAGCUGGCUAAUAUGUAACUGACGCUGAGGGACGAAAGUGUGGGGAUCAAAC